UACAUGGGGUGCAAACGUUGCUCGGAAUUAUUGGGCGUAAAGCGCGCGUAGGCGGUUACUUAAGUCGGAUGUGAAAGCCCUCGGCUUAACUGAGGAAGUGCAUCCGAAACUGAGUAGCUAGAGUACGAAAGAGGGUCGCGGAAUUCCCGGUGUAGAGGUGAAAUUCGUAGAUAUCGAGAGGAACACCAGUGGCGAAGGCGGCGAUCUGGGUCGAUACUGACGCUGAGGUGCGAAAGCGUGGGGAGCGAACAGG
rnacentral:rRNA from 1 species